rnacentral:rRNA from 1 species
UGCCUCAGUAACGGCGAGUGAAGCGGCAAGAGCUCAAAUUUGAAAGCUGGCCCCUUCGGGGUCCGCGUUGUAAUUUGCAGAGGAUGCUUCGGGUGCAGCCCCCGUCUAAGUGCCCUGGAACGGGCCGUCAUAGAGGGUGAGAAUCCCGUCUGGGACGGGGUGUCUGCGUCCGUGUGAAGCUCCUUCGACGAGUCGAGUUGUUUGGGAAUGCAGCUCUAAAUGGGUGGUAAAUUUCAUCUAAAGCUAAAUACUGGCCGGAGACCGAUAGCGCACAAGUAGAGUGAUCGAAAGAUGAAAAGCACUUUGAAAAGAGAGUUAAACAGCACGUGAAAUUGUUGAAAGGGAAGCGUUUGCGACCAGACUCGCCCGCGGGGUUCAGCCGGCAUUCGUGCCGGUGUACUUCCCCGUGGGCGGGCCAGCGUCGGUUUGGGCGGCCGGUCAAAGGCCCUCGGAAUGUAUCACCUCUCGGGGUGUCUUAUAGCCGAGGGUGCAAUGCGGCCUGCCUGGACCGAGGAACGCGCUUCGGCUCGGACGCUGGCGUAA